UUAUUUAAAAUGCUGGAUUUUGCAUCAUCAGCUAAUGUAGUAGCUGCUAAGGUUGCUGACGAAAACAAUCUUAGUAGGUAUUGAGAUGUGUGUUUGUUAUGAAUUGAAGAUAUAGAUUUGUUGUUUUGUGCGCUUGCAAUUUGAGUGCACUUGUGAAAUCAAAACUCAGGAGGAAGUCAGAGAAAGUCUCGUCUGUCCAAACCAGCUGGCAAGCUGAUACCUACCAAAUCACGGAACGAAAAACGCUGUAACAGGCCCAUACCGGCAACUGCUGCUGUCCAUUUCGAUGGUCCAACAAAUCAAAAUCCCGUUGGCUACGGCACUUCGCGUUGACCGGUUCGUGUGCAUGCCAAAACUGCUUCGUUUGAUUUGAGGCGAUUCUACUCACACCCAAUCCGGUACUAACCAUCUGGAGCCGGCUUGCCGCUCUGCUAGACGUGCAUGAAGCUGGUCUCGAAUUGCGAUUGCUGUCCGCCGGGGAGCUUUUCAGUUGAGGUCGGGCCGAAUUUGUUCAAACAACGCUUUUUCUUUGAAGCUGGCCGGCACCAACGUUUACCUCCUACAGAAGAUGCUGUAUCCGGAUGGAGAAACACUUGAAACUAAACUAAGCAAAAUGUUGAAAGCGUAACAAAAUGUUUGGAAAUUUUCAGUUUGGCAGACAGGAUGACAACUCUGGAGUGUCGGAGUGUACACGGUAAACUUGGUCAACCAAGAAUUUUGAUAAAUCCAGACUCCGACAAAUAGACUCCUAAAGUGGGUAGAAGGAGGUUAGCACAAAAAGCUAUUUAGGGGUUUUGACGGAACUUUCGUCAGAAAGGAAAAUUGGUAUAGUUGACGUUUGGAAUUAUAGAUUCAAGACGUUUACAAACUUUUAGGUCUACUUAAUAAGGCCAAUGCAAAUUUUAAUUGAAGUUUUUUCCCGGCUUAUCCGAUGAACAAAAGCUUUUGAUUUUUUUCCAUUAUGCAAAAUUUCUUUUGUAGAAAAGUCUC